rnacentral:lncRNA from 1 species
GGCCAAUCCGGGUAUUUCAAAAAUGAUCCCGCUACAUGUACAGCACUGUACACAGCUUGACGUGGAAAAUGAGAAAAAAAAAUGAAAACAGUGUUUUAAAUACUCGGCUGAAUGUCUCAAUUAUUCCCAUUUCCUUCCUUCAUUCAUUUCAUCCCCAAAUCAAUUCGUCUCUCCUCUCUCCUCUCUCAUCAACGAUCUCUUCUCCUCUUUCAUUUACGACUUGUUCCCCAAAUUGAAUCCCUCUCCCACCCACGAAGAGUAACAUACAGAGCCAACCAGAAAUCCAGAUGACAUCCAUUGACGAAGAAUAAGGUAGAGCCAACCGUAAAUCGAGGCGACAACCUGAAAAAUCCACACAUCCGAUCGCGGGCAAAACGGUAAGAGUAGUAGUGAUUUGAUGCUUGUGUAAUCAUUUUCCAAUGGGUCGGUGUAUAUUUCCCCAUUUGUUGUUCGAUGUAAACUAGAUGUCCGAUUUAUCUACGAGUCGAAUCGGAGAGGAGAAAAUGUAGAGGUUUGGAAUCAGAGGGGGAAUAUGCAGAAGCAUUUUCGUUGUUAUUAUUUGGGUGGUUUUAUUUAAUUUUUUAAAUUUUAUUUGGCAAUUCAUGUUUGUAUAGGGAUUAAACAUUUCCUGUGCUUGAGAUAAUGUUUUUGACUUUUGGCUCUACUUCAUUUUGGGGAAGUAGAAAUUAGGUUUUUGUUUACUUUUGGCUCUACUUAAUUUGGACAGGAGCAGAAUUAAUAAAGAUUUUGUUUUCGUUAUGAUUUGUUGUUGCGGAAAAGAAGAAAAUGGGAGUAGAAAAGUUCUUCAAUUUUAGUUUCUGCUCCUGUCAAUUGAAUAUGAACCAAAGACAAUUAAAAUGAAAUGGUUUUACAUUUCGAAAGUAAGGAGAAAAUGAAAAACAAUUCAGUUUCAUGGUUUUUUGCUUCUGUCAUUUGGUUUUACAUAUUGUGAAGACAAUUUCAGUUUCAUAGUUUUAUGCUUUAAGGAAUUCUUAGUAAACUUAUUAUGCUUUACGUAGAUUGCUAAAGAUACUAAUAUUACACGUUGGUGUGGUUGUUUGAUGUGGUUGAAUUAGAGAAAUUCGAUGGCAGGCAAGAAUAGGGAAAUAUGUCAUUGUUGUCAACAGAGGGGACAUACACUGUUGGAAUGCCCGACAAAGAGAAGAUGCCCAAAUUGUGGUGACGGGUUCGUUAAGUAGAUGGAGGUCGAAAAGAAUAAUGACCAUAAAGGAUUGUUGUUUCAUUGUUGUACCCAUGAUUGUAGGUACUUCAAGUGGUGCAACAAAUUCCCCGACGAAAAGUGCCCGUUGCAUGACGAUGGUGAAUUAAGUUGCAUCACAACUACAAGUGAGGAAGCGGAUACUUAGUCGCAUAUGUUGAAAACACUCGCUAAGCUAAGCGAGGAGAAAGACCUAGAGAUUUUCCUCCAAAUAAACAUGCGCAAAGGAAAACAAGUUUCAGAAAAUAGGUUUGUAUGUAGAGAUUGUUUGGGACUAAAAAGUGAAAGUCUCUUAACUGUUUGUAAUGAUGCAUGUAUAAAUGGUAAGCAACUAUGUUAUUGUGGUGCCUGUUUUUUUUGCUAGCCGUCCACCUUGAAUUAUCUUGAAGUUUUUACGAUUUUUACUAUUCAACUUUCGUUAAC